rnacentral:rRNA from 1 species
AUGCAUUGGUAUGCUUGGUGGAAGUUGUGUGUGCCAAAGUCUUUGGGAGGAAUGGGAUUCCGAGAUCUAUAUUCCUUUACUUUGGCGAUGCUUGCAAAAUAGUGUUGGAGACUAAUUACGAGCCCGAAUUCUCCUUGUGCCAAAGUAUUACGUGCUAAAUACUAUCCUGAUGGUCAGCUACUUCAGACAGGUCCAAAGAGAGGGGCCUCUUUUACUUGGCAAAGCAUCGUGGCAGGAAUUCAAACAUUCAAGCAUGGGUAUAUCUGGAGAAUUGGUGAUGGUAAUGAUAUCAAUACCUGGACAGACCCUUGGGUUCUAGCAAGUCAAGAUAGGAAAAUUGUGACACCAAGGGGGCAAACUCUUUUAACAAAGGGGAAUGAAAUAAUUGAUCCAAUAUCCCGGCAGUGGGAUGAGGAUCUUAUCAGAAUGAUUUUUUGGCCUAUAGAUGCAGCAAGGAUACUCCAAAUCCCUUUGAACUUUUCUGCAUUUAAUGAUUUUAUUGUGUGGCAUCAUACAAAGACAGGGAUUUUUUUAGUCAAAUCUGCAUACCAAGUGGAAUGGAAACAUAAAUACAUAACAAGUUUGCUAUUGCCUAGUGCUUCGGUGGUCAAUCCAGUAUGGAAGUCUCUCCGGGAUCUUACGAUCCCACCAAAAGCCCACAUUAUUUGCUGGAGAAGCUUGCACGGGAUCAUUCCCCUGAAGGCCAUUCUGGCCAAUCGGCAUGUUGGAUCAAAUGGGCUAUAUCCCAUUUCCAAACAGGGGGGCGAAGACAUAAAGCAUCUUUUCUUUUUUUCAAAAAGGGGCACUUUAUUACUUAAAAGGUUUAAGUAA